rnacentral:lncRNA from 1 species
AUGCAGGGAGGGAAAAGUUCAGAAGCAGCUACAGGGGACAAAAGCCCAUUUUUACUAGUUCAACAGGACAGGACAUUCAAUAAACCCAGCCCGCUCUGGAAACGGGUCGGGGCUCCAGUUGGCUCCACAGAGGCAGAAGUAGCCCCUGCCGCCGCCCUCGCCACGGCAGCCGCCGCCGCCGCGGCCCCUGCGUUACUGGGGGAGACGGUGCCGCUGCGACAGGGGAGGACGCGGCUGGAGCUCAAGGAGGCUCCAUCGCGCAGGCGCCGCCGAGCCCUGCCUGGAUGCUCAGUCAAGGCACUAAGGCAAAAAAAAAAUCAGCAAUUUAUAGAAAGAAGAAGCUAUAGUCUGUCGGGAUAUCCAACACCAACAGUAGGGCUUAUUGAGAGCUCCAUUUCUGGAAAGCGUUGCAAGACUGAGGAAUAUCGGACUGCGAAUCACCGGGAACAGUUCCCUUGCAGCACAGAAGCAAUCUCUCUCCCCAUCUUCGCGUAUGUAAUGCAUGUCUCUCUCCCCCUCCCCCUCCUCCACCCCCCCAUUAUAAAUCCAGGGGUGGCGGAUUUCAGGUUUCAUAAUGUUGCAUGAUGCGAUCGGUAUUUACCCGGGGAUGUACCGGUGAGGAAAUUAAAAUCAUCCAACGCAGUUUUGCCUGGGCUUCUAUCAGCAUAUUCCAGGCAAGUGAGAAGUGGCAAAGGAAACAUGCUUCGUGGGAAUAACAGAGGAAACCGAUUUCCCUGGUGGGGUUCCCAAACACCUAGGAGACAAUGUGCAUUUUGUUUUAAAAUGAAGCUACUUGCGAUUUGCAACGAAGAUUGUCAGUAUAAAUGGUAAAAGCUUA